UUUUUGUAGGUGAACCUGCAAAAGGAUCAUUAGUGAAUUCUGGGAGUACCUCUUAAUCGGAGAAGGCCCAUUUUACUAUUUUCAACCCUAGUGAAUUUGUCCCUUUUUUACUUUGCCCUUGUGCAUUAUCAAAAGUCAUUUGUUAAACAUAUAUGAAAGAAAAACUUUCAGCAAUGGAUCUCUUGGCUCUCGCAUCGAUGAAGAACGCAGC
rnacentral:misc_RNA from 1 species